UACGUAGGGUGCAAGCGUUAAUCGGAAUUACUGGGCGUAAAGCGUGCGCAGGCGGUUUCGUAAGUCUGUCGUGAAAUCCCCGGGCUUAACCUGGGAAUGGCGAUGGAGACUGCGAGGCUAGAGUUUGGCAGAGGGGGUAGAAUUCCACGUGUAGCAGUGAAAUGCGUAGAGAUGUGGAGGAACACCGAUGGCGAAGGCGGCCCCCUGGGCUGGUACUGACGCUGAUGCGCGAAAGCGUGGGUAGCAAACGGG
rnacentral:rRNA from 1 species